CGGAUAAAAGUGUGGUCAAUAUCUCUGGUCAAUGGUCAACUGUUAAAGGAGCGCGACUCAUCAUGAUGCAAGCUACAUGUUCCUCUUCUAUGCGUCCUCAUCUUUCACCGCCUCCCCCUUCCAAUUAGCUUACAACACUUCAAAUCCAACUUUAUUCCUUCCCUAUCUUCUAUUCGACGAAUUCUUGAUUCACCAAAAAACACCUCAUCUCUUUCUUAUUCUCACCGCUCCGUUUGAUGGAGGGCUUUUUCUGGAUUCGUUUUAGCUUUCGCUCCAUCUCCAUCUUCUAAGUUUUCUAAUAUGUGUGUUCAAAAAAGACUCGAUUUUCCAUCGCCGACAGCAAAUCAGACCCUCUUCAUUGUCAAUCCCGUUCUCAAUCUUUCAACUUCUACCCAGAUGAACGAUUAAAAGACAAAAAAGGUGUAUAUGUUUAUAUCCAGCCUAGGGAUUCAGCACCAGGGGAAACACACAUACAACCCAUUGUGUGUGUGCAUGAUCGUGAACCAGGAAGAGAGGCAUAGAGAAAUUCGUAGCCAACAUGGAAAGAUUUCAUUGCAGUUUGCACGUAUUCUUCUUCUAGGGUUUAUGUGAUGUCAAGUAAACGCUUGGUCUAUGUGGAUUUGUUCUUGCCCUCCCCGUUCCACCUGCUUCCCACCGCUUCCUCUCGAAUCACCUUUUUCUACUCCUAUGGAAUCGGCUUCCUUCAUCUAUCGAUUUUGGUAAGCAACAACUCACACAUGUGCUUUUCUUGGUGAUGGUGCGACGAAGUUAAUGACUAUGGGAUUUGAGGUGUGAUGUGCGAAGGGUGUCGUUUCGCCGUCGGUUUCCUUAUUUCCGUUUUCGUCUCUCUCUCUCUCUUGAACAUCUCUGUAGAGCACCACUGAUUUAACAUGCCAAAAUCAGAGAUGUCGAUCCUUCUUCAAAAAACAGACGAUGCUUUCUCCACAGCUUCCUUUACCGGUGCAACUACAGUUAUGCUUCGAGUGGCGAUGUAGUUAGGUUCAAUCUGAUGUAGCAGGAUGUUGAUCUAGCAUAGUCAGGUGAAUCUGUGAUGUAGAUGAAAGGAACAUAAACAAAUAGAGGUGUGGGAUCAUCAAUGUGAACGGAAAGGGCUUUGUCAAAUGGAACAUAUUAACAAACAGAAGAGUUGUUAUCACCCUCGAUUUUAGAAAACCUCUCAAUGCCAUGAAUAUAGGUGUCUGACUGCAGAUCAGGUGUUCACUGUUGAAUACUUUCUUAUUUGCAAAAUCUUGGAUAUAAGAAGCCAUAUAUAACCGUCAUGGAUAGCAUAACAAUGGGGUUUCGGAAUGGUGUAUCUGAUCAUACCCACUAAAAAACCAUAACACAGGCAAACUCAACAUUUUAGCAUUAAAUAUUUAAAUCAAAACUCAAAAUCAUACAUUUAUGAGUUUUUUUCUUUUCUACCAGAUGUUCUUGCGAUGCCAAAAAAUGGAAUUGGAUUGUUCCCAGAUGUGUGCUUUGCUUAUAUAGAAGCUAAGAGUCUAUGACAACAAAUUGGUAAUGGAGUUUUGAGGAAGACUACAAACAAAAUGGAACUUAAUGGUGAGUGUUUUUUUAUUUAUUAUCUUUUUAAAUAUUAAAGAAAAGGUUUUAUUGUUUAUUAUUUUAAAAAAGUUACAAAUGAUAGAAAUGAAGGCUUCAUUGACAUUGCCAAAAUGAUUUGCUAAAGCCAAAUGACAACAUUACCCUUACCCAACUUUUCUCUGUACUUCCAUCACGACUUUUACAUGUGUUAAACAUUGAUGAUAGAAAUCUCAAAUAGGAAGAAGUUGAAGUAAGGGGUUUAAAGGUAUGCUUUUGAAAACAUAUUACCUUCUAUCUUCUAAUUUAUAUUAAUCAAAAUGGGCUGUUGAUAGUGGUAUUGUUAUAUUUUUAGAGAAAUACAACAAAAAAAACACAUGUACUUUCAUAAUCUUAUUGAUUUUUCCAUUUACCUGUUUUAUUUAGUCAUUAAACAAUUAUACUUUCUUCCACUGUCUCAAAAUUGGCCUGUUUUGAUAUUAUAAAAAUUACAGAAAAAAAACAACUUAUUUUUACCAUUAUAUUUUUUUAUCGUCUAAAAAUUUUAUUUACUAAUUAAGCCGCUACACUAAUAUUUUUUUAUUGAUUUGGUCAUUAAACUCUUAUUUUUUUUACGAUUUAGCCACAAAACUAUUAUGAUGAAAAUCUAAAAAAAAUUAGUUCAUUGGCUAAAUUACAUGAUUCAAAAGUUUUUUAUUUGUCAUAAAAUGGCUGAUAGACCAUUUUUUUCUUUGAUAACAGUUGGUCUAUUUGCCCCCUGUCCAUCCUGCUAACAGUUAAAAAAAAUUAAUGACAUUCUACUUUUUGUUUAUUCAUAUUAUAUAUUAUGAAGCAAAAAAUUGAAAGUAAGAUACAGGUCAAAUGGAAGGCUUGCAAUCAUGGUCUCAAACCACAAGCUUGCCAGCAUUGGAUGCAUGCAUAAGGUUUAACGUUGGUAGGUCAACUUUCAGUUGGGUUUAAGCCUAUUUGCAUAUAUUCAUAAAUUGAAUGGCAGGUGGAUGAAUUGGAGAAAGCUAUAUCUAAGGCAGCUAGAGACCCCGCUAAAUAUGGAAUCGAUCAACCCGCACUUGAAAGAAGAUUUAAAUGGACAAGAACCACUAUGACUCAAGUAAAUUCUUUUUUUUUAAUAUAAACAUUAAAAAUUCACACAAUUGAUUUUAUUUAGGAGGUGUUAAGAAAUCAGUGGUGGGAAGAGACUUGAAUGGCAGUAGCUCUUCCAUAUUUAGUGGGAUGUAUCAAGAACUAAUGAGUCUCCCAAGUGCACGUCAGCAAGACUGAUGUUAAGUGGCUUUUUUUGCAUAUCUUAGAACAAAAAAACUAAAAUAGAGCAAUGUAUUUUCAUUUUAAUGUUUAGCUUUAUGUAAUUUGGAUCCUUUUUUUCUGCAAAAAGGCAAUGUUAUUUAUUUUUAUUA